AGUUGACCUCGAAUCAGGUAGGAAUACCCGCUGAACUUAAGCAUAUCAAUAAGCGGAGGAAAAGAAACCAACAGGGAUUGCCCCAGUAACGGCGAGUGAAGCGGCAACAGCUCAAAUUUGAAAUCUGGCUCUCGGGCCCGAGUUGUAAUUUGUAGAGGAUGCUUUUGGUGAGGUGCCUUCCGAGUUCCCUGGAACGGGACGCCAUAGAGGGUGAGAGCCCCGUCUGGUUGGACGCCGAACCUCUGUAAAGCUCCUUCGACGAGUCGAGUAGUUUGGGAAUGCUGCUCUAAAUGGGAGGUAUAUGUCUUCUAAAGCUAAAUACCGGCCAGAGACCGAUAGCGCACAAGUAGAGUGAUCGAAAGAUGAAAAGAACUUUGAAAAGAGAGUUAAACAGUACGUGAAAUUGUUGAAAGGGAAGCGCUUGUGACCAGACUUGGGCUUGGUUGAUCAUCCGGGGUUCUCCCCGGUGCACUCUUCCGGCCCAGGCCAGCAUCAGUUCGCCCUGGGGGACAAAGGCWUCGGGAA
rnacentral:rRNA from 1 species